rnacentral:ncRNA from 1 species
UAUCUUUGCACGCUGAUUGCGCGUCCUUCGAGAGACGGAGGAACUGACAAUCAAUACAUAAAAAUCAUUUAAAUAAUAUUGGAAUG